UACGUAGGGUGCAAGCGUUAAUCGGAAUUACUGGGCGUAAAGCGUGCGCAGGCGGCUCGCUAAGACCGAUGUGAAAACCCCGGGCUUAACCUGGGAACUGCAUUGGUGACUGGCGAGCUAGAGUGUGGCAGAGGGGGGUAGAAUUCCACGUGUAGCAGUGAAAUGCGUAGAGAUGUGGAGGAAUACCGAUGGCGAAGGCAGCCCCCUGGGCUAACACUGACGCUCAUGCACGAAAGCGUGGGGAGCAAACAGG
rnacentral:rRNA from 1 species